GACGAACGCUGGCGGCGUGCUUAACACAUGCAAGUCGAGCGGUAAGGCCCUUUCGGGGGGUACACGAGCGGCGAACGGGUGAGUAACACGUGGGUGACCUGCCCUCAGCUCUGGGAUAAGCCUGGGAAACCGGGUCUAAUACUGGAUAUGACUCCAUGACGCAUGUUGUGGGGUGGAAAGCCUUGUGCGGCUGAGGAUGGGCCCGCGGCCUAUCAGCUUGUUGGUGGGGUGANGGCCUACCAAGGCGACGACGGGUAGCCGGCCUGAGAGGGCGACCGGCCACACUGGGACUGAGACACGGCCCA
rnacentral:rRNA from 1 species